rnacentral:lncRNA from 1 species
CCAGCCGGUGCCUUUGUGGCCUCUUGGGCUGGGUUGCAAUCUCAUGCCAACCCGCUUGCCAGUUGUCAGGCCGCCUCUGGGGAGGACGCUGCAGGAGCCUCAAACGCCACCUACUCCCGGCCUCUCUCCCGGUUGAUGUUUCUAUUUUGGGCACCACAUUAUUUCCUGCUGUGAUUUUUUUUUCAGGCUUCUAAUUCAGGCUCUGAGGAAUGGGAGUCGAACGCUUCCGUGUCCGAAGUCUGUUUAACUAUAUUUGGACAAUGACCCUUUAGAGAUGCUGAUAAAGGCUACACAGAAUCCCAGAAACUGUCCACAACAAACUCACAGCAGACAAAAUGGUAAAGCUCCCGGGAGCCUCAACCAUCCCAGUCCAUGGGGGUGACUUUAGCUGAGACUCCUAGCAGUGAGGAUAUGGAGCCUGUUGUGCUUGUAGACAGGAGCCUAGCAUAACUCCUCUGAGAGCUACCCAGCAGCUGACUGAAACAGAUGCUGAGUCCCACAGUCAAACAUUAGAUGGAGCUUGGGGACUCUUGUGGAAGAGUUGUGGGAAGGAUUGCAGGCCCUGAAGGAAAUAGGAACUCUACAAGAAGACCAACAAAGUCAACUAACCUGGACCACUAGGGGCUCCCAGAAACUGAACCAUCAACCAAAGA